rnacentral:rRNA from 1 species
GCUAAUAGAUGAGCCUAAGUCAGAUUAGCUAGUUGGUGGGGUAAAGGCCUACCAAGGCGACGAUCUGUAGCGAGUCUGAAGGAUGAUCCGCCACACUGGGACUGAGACACGGCCCAGACUCCUACGGGAGGCAGCAGUGGGGGAAUAUUGGACAAUGGGGCGAAAGCCUGAUCCAGCCAUGCCGCGUGUGUGAAGAAGGGCCUUUUGGUUUGUAAAGCACUUUAAGCGAGGAGGAGGCUACUUAGAUUAAUACUCUAGGAUAGUGGACGUUACUCGCAGAAUAAGCACCGGCUAACUCUGUGCCAGCAGCCGCGGUAAUACAGAGGGUGCGAGCGUUAAUCGGAUUUACUGGGCGUAAAGCGUGCGUAGGCGGCUUUUUAAGUCGGAUGUGAAAUCCCUGAGCUUAACUUAGGAAUUGCAUUCGAUACUGGGAAGCUAGAGUAUG